rnacentral:rRNA from 1 species
ACGGGAGGCAGCAGUGGGGAAUAUUGCAUAAUGGGGGAAACCCUGAUGCAGCAACGCCGCGUGAGUGAUGACGGUCUUCGGAUUGUAAAACUCUGUCUUUGGGGACGAUAAUGACGGUACCCAAGGAGGAAGCCACGGCUAACUACGUGCCAGCAGCCGCGGUAAUACGUAGGUGGCGAGCGUUGUCCGGAUUUACUGGGCGUAAAGGGAGCGUAGGCGGAUUCUUAAGUGGGAUGUGAAAUACCCGGGCUUAACCUGGGUGCUGCAUUCCAAACUGGGAAUCUAGAGUGCAGGAGGGGAGAGUGGAAUUCCUAGUGUAGCGGUGAAAUGCGUAGAGAUUAGGAAGAACACCAGUGGCGAAGGUGACUCUCUGGACUGUAACUGACGCUGAGGCUCGAAAGCGUGGGGAGCAAACAGGAUUAGAUACCCUGGUA